rnacentral:rRNA from 1 species
AACGAACGUUAGCGGCGCGCUUAACACAUGCAAGUCGAGCGAGAAAGGGGCAACCCCGGUAAAGCGGCGCACGGGUGAGUAACACGUAGGUAAUCUACCUCCAGGUGGUGGAUAACCUUCCGAAAGGAGGGCUAAUACAGCAUGAGACCACGAACUCGAAAGGGUUUGAGGUCAAAGUCGGCCUCUUCAUGAAAGCUGACGCCAGGAGAUGAGCCUGCGGCCCAUCACGGUAGUUGGUAGGAAUGGCCUACCAAGCCAAAGACGGGUAGCUGGUCUGAGAGGAUGAUCAGCCA